AUGGGACUCGAGCCCUCAGCCAUAUCUGGGGGACCUGAAGACCAGCUGUCGCCACCAAGAGUUGAUGUCCUGGUCGAGGUCAAAGGAUUUAAGUUCACGUGCAGCCCUAGGCUGAUCCCAGUCACCCUGCAAGCCCCAACACUGGGCCGACCGCAGGCUGGAGGGACGGCUUGGGACUGCGUCGAGCUGAGUUCAGAUACAGGGAACUUCCAGGGACCAGCAGAUGGCUCAGGCGGGGCAGGCCAAACCUCAGGUACCUGCCAGGACUACACUUCAGUCUCUAUCCAGGGCCCCUCCAUCUUCCCUCUGCCCUCCUGCUGCAAAGAUACCUCCACCUCCGUGACGCUGGGCUGCCUGAUCAAGGGCUACUUCCCGGAGCCCGUGGAGGUGACCUGGGACACAGGCUCCCUGAACGGCAGUGUGGUGACCUUCCCUGCUGUCACUCUGCCCUCUGGGCUCUACACCUCCGUCAGCCAGGUGACCGUGUCGGGCGAGUGGGCCAAGGAGAAAUUCACCUGCAGGGUGGCACACCCGCCCUCCUCCACUGUCAACAGCACCAAGGCCUUCGAAGCCUGCGCUGUGAACUUCGCCCUGCCCACCGUGAAGCUCUUCCACUCCUCCUGCGACCCCAGUGGAGACACCCACACCACCAUCCAGCUCCUGUGUCUCAUCUCUGGCUACACCCCAGGCGACCUUGAGGUCACCUGGCUGGUGAAUGGGCUCAAGGACACCAACAAGCUCACCUACGUGGCCCCGCCCAAGGAGGAGGGCAAGCUGGCCUCCACCCACAGCGAGCUGAACAUCACCCAGGGCCAGUGGGUGUCAGAAAGCACCUUCACCUGCCGGGUCGCCUACAGAGGCCUCACCCUGGAGAGCAGUGCCCGGAUGUGCACAGAGUCGGAGCCGCGGGGCGUGAGCGCCUACCUGAGCGCGCCCAGCCCCCUCGACCUGUACGUGAACAAGUCUCCCAAGAUCACGUGUCUAGUGGUAGACCUGGCCAGACCGGACGACCUGACUCUGGUCUGGAGCCGCGAUAGCGGGAAGCCUGUUAUCCAGGAGAAGCCAGAGCCCAAGAGCCAGUUCAAUAAAACGGUCACCAUCAUGUCCACCCUCCCAGUGGACCUCCAGGACUGGCUAGAGGGCGAGGUCUACCACUGCACCAUCUCCCACCCCGACCUGCCCAAGGACAUCGUGCGGACCAUCACCAAGGCCCCGGGCAAGCGCACCAAGCCCGAGGUCCACCUGUUCCCGCUGCCCCAGGAGACGCAGCCCAGCACGGACACGGUCACGCUCAUCUGCCUGAUGCAGAGGUUCUCCCCCGCCGACAUCUCCGUACAGUGGCUGCGCGGCAAGGUGCUGCUCCCAGACAGCCAGUACCGCACCACGCCACCCCUCCUGACCAACAGCUCCAGCUCCACCUUCUUCGCCCUCAGCCGCCUGGAGGUGUCCCGCUCCGACUGGGAGCAGAGUAAUUUCACCUGCCGUGUGGUCCACGAGGCGCUGUCCUCCCAUGUCCUUGAGGAAACCGUGUCCAAACCCCCUGGUAAAUGACGUGUGCCCACCCACUGCUGUAACCACGGGGAGCCCAAUAAACAUGCCGGUGCCUG